GGGCAGGUGGUAGAGUGGUUGAUUGCUCCGGUCUUGAAAACCGGCGAAGGUGCAAGCCUUCCGGGGGUUCGAAUCCCUCCCUGCCCGCCA
rnacentral:tRNA from 3 species